UAAGGAAUAUUGGACAAUGGUCGCAAGACUGAUCCAGCCAUGCCGCGUGCAGGAUGACGGCCCUAUGGGUUGUAAACUGCUUUUAUACGGGAAAAAACCCCUCUACGUGUAGAGGGCUGAUUGUACUGUAAGAAUAAGGAUCGGCUAACUCCGUGCCAGCAGCCGCGGUAAUACGGAGGAUCCAAGCGUUAUCCGGAUUCAUUGGGUUUAAAGGGUGCGUAGGCGGAAUGAUAAGUCAGUGGUGAAAUCUCUCAGCUUAACUGAGAAACUGCCAUUGAUACUGUCAAUCUUGAGUAUAUUUGAUGUGGGCGGAAUGUGUCAUGUAGCGGUGAAAUGCUUAGAUAUGACACAGAACACCGAUUGCGAAGGCAGCUCACAAAACUAUAACUGACGCUGAGGCACGAAAGCGUGGGUAUCAAACAGG
rnacentral:rRNA from 1 species